AGGGAUCAUUACACAAUAAAAUAU
rnacentral:rRNA from 1 species